ACUUUUAUAGGAUACAGCUCAUCCAUUGGUCUUAGGAACCAAAAAUCUUGGUGCAACUCCAAAUAAAAGUA
rnacentral:tRNA from 1 species